rnacentral:rRNA from 1 species
GAUGAACGCUGGCGGCGUGCCUAACACAUGCAAGUCGAACGGAGAUUACGGACGGAAGUUUUCGGAUGGAAGACUGUAAUUCUUAGUGGCGGACGGGUGAGUAACGCGUGGGCAACCUGCCCUAUACAGGGGGAUAGCAGCUGGAAACGGCUGGUAAGACCGCAUAAGUCGGUUAAAUCGCAUGAUUUGAUCGGGAAAUGAGCAAUCAGGUAUAGGAUGGGCCCGCGUCCGAUUAGCCAGUUGGCAGGGUAAAAGCCUACCAAAGCGACGAUCGGUAGCCGGACUGAGAGGUCGGACGGCCACAUUGGGACUGAGACACGGCCCAAACUCCUACGGGAGGCAGCAGUGGGGGAUAUUGCACAAUGGAGGAAACUCUGAUGCAGCGACGCCGCGUGAGUGAAGAAGUAUGUCGGUAUGUAAAGCUCUAUCAGCAGGGAAGAUGAUGACGGUACCUGACGAAGAAGCCCCGGCUAACUACGUG